AGGGCCUGGGUGGCUUUUGCCUUCCUCCCACAAAGAUCACAAAAUGCUCCUGGCGCUUGCUUCCGACACAUCCAAGGAGUUCUGCAACAUCAGAAGGGGAAACAGGGCUUCACAGUCCUCAUCUUUCACUGACAGGAAAAACAGUGCUACGCAGCUCUUAAAUGUACGAGCUCCUGCGGAUGAAAGUCUGCUUUUAGGACAGGCCCCGCAGUGACAGGCUGCGGCACGGCAGGGAGAAGCCCAGGUAAUUCUGGCGGGGCAGCGGCUGGCGAUGCAGGACGCAGCAGGUACCCAGCCAUCCAGCCAGCCCGCUUUACGUAAGGACUUCAUUUUCGUUCGGCUACAUCUCGCCGCCGCGCGAGGCACGGGAGAGGAGGCUAUUCCAUCUCCCCGUGCAGCCCCAUCCCCUGUGCCAGGCCCAAUGACCGCAUCCUCGCACGUUUUAAUUUUUUAAUUUUUUUUUUUUUUUUUCUCCU